rnacentral:rRNA from 1 species
AUGCACGCUGGCGGCGUGCCUAAUACAUGCAAGUCGAGCGAACAGAUGAGGAGCUUGCUCCUCUGACGUUAGCGGCGGACGGGUGAGUAACACGUGGAUAACCUACCUAUAAGACUGGGAUAACUUCGGGAAACCGGAGCUAAUACCGGAUAAUAUAUUGAACCGCAUGGUUCAAUAGUGAAAGACGGUUUUGCUGUCACUUAUAGAUGGAUCCGCGCCGCAUUAGCUAGUUGGUAAGGUAACGGCUUACCAAGGCAACGAUGCGUAGCCGACCUGAGAGGGUGAUCGGCCACACUGGAACUGAGACACGGUCCAGACUCCUACGGGAGGCAGCAGUAGGGAAUCUUCCGCAAUGGGCGAAAGCCUGACGGAGCAACGCCGCGUGAGUGAUGAAGGUCUUCGGAUCGUAAAACUCUGUUAUUAGGGAAGAACAAAUGUGUAAGUAACUAUGCACGUCUUGACGGUACCUAAUCAGAAAGCCACGGCUAACUACG